rnacentral:rRNA from 1 species
AGUGAACGCUGGCGGUAGGCCUAACACAUGCAAGUCGAACGGCAGCACAGUAAGAGCUUGCUCUUACGGGUGGCGAGUGGCGGACGGGUGAGGAAUACAUCGGAAUCUACUUUUUCGGGGGGGAUAACGUAGGGAAACUUACGCUAAUACCGCAUACGACCUACGGGUGAAAGCAGGGGAUCUUCGGACCUUGCGCGAUUGAAUUAGCCGAUGUCGGAUUAGCUAGUUGGCGGGGUAAAGGCCCACCAAGGCGACGAUCCGUAGCUGGUCUGAGAGGAUGAUCAGCCACACUGGAACGGAGACACGGUCCAGACUCCUACGGGAGGCAGCAGUGGGGAAUAUUGGACAAUGGGCGCAAGCCUGAUCCAGCCAUACCGCGUGGGUGAAGAAGGCCUUCGGGUUGUAAAGCCCUUUUGUUGGGAAAGAAAAGCAGCAGGUUAAUACCCCGCUGUUCUGACGGUACCCAAAGAAUAAGCACCGGCUAACUUCGUG